GAUGAACGCUGGCGGCGUGCUUAACACAUGCAAGUCGAACGGUGAAAGAGAGCUUGCUCUCUGGAUCAGUGGCGAACGGGUGAGUAACACGUGAGCAAUCUGCCCCUGACUCUGGGAUAAGCGCUGGAAACGGCGUCUAAUACCGGAUACGAGCUGCGAAGGCAUCUUCAGCAGCUAGAAAGAACUUCGGUCAGGGAUGAGCUCGCGGCCUAUCAGCUAGUUGGUGAGGUAACGGCUCACCAAGGCGUCGACGGGUAGCCGGCCUGAGAGGGUGACCGGCCACACUGGGACUGAGACACGGCCCAGACUCCUACGGGAGGCAGCAGUGGGGAAUAUUGCACAAUGGGCGAAAGCCUGAUGCAGCAACGCCGCGUGAGGGACGACGGCCUUCGGGUUGUAAACCUCUUUUAGCAGGGAAGAAGCGAAAGUGACGGUACCUGCAGAAAAAGCACCGGCUAACUACGUG
rnacentral:rRNA from 1 species